rnacentral:tRNA from 1 species
UGUUCUGUGGCUAAAUUGGUUAAAGCACUGAAUUAGUGAUAUGAAGUUGUGUGUUCGAAACCCAUCAAAACAG